rnacentral:rRNA from 1 species
AUUUUGUUUAAUUAUGGCAAAAGGAGGGGGUAACAGUUGAACUGCAUAGUAAAAUUUUAUAUACGAAACUAGGUAAAUAAAAGUUACGAUAGAAUUAGCAGUGAGUUCUUUUAGUUUCAUGAAAGUGAGAAUAGGCAACGUUACAGAGGAGGAUAAAUCACAGUGCCAGCAUCCGCGGUUAUUCUGUUUCCUUUACACUCCUAAAUAGUAUGAAGGUUAGCCAGUAACUACUAUUUUAAUUGUAAAAAGUAUAUAAAUAGUUAUAAUUAUUCUGGCUGAGGUACUUAUUGGCUUAUUUGUAAAGCAAAUUAGAUACUUGCUUAACAAGCUACAUAAAUAAAUUUUAGUAAAACUAAAAUUAUUUUGGCAGCUGAUUAACCCUAGCAGGGGAGGGUGCCUUGUAAAAGAUAUUCCACUUAAAAACCAACCAACGUAAAUUUAGUUGGUGUACGUCCGGUUACAUAUUGAUAGUGAUAGCUUAUUAUCGGUGUAAAUGAGUAAUUUAAGCCAGGUCUAUGUGCUACUGAUACGUUGGUUUAUGGUGCCCUACAUUUAAAAGAAACCUGUAAAAAUAAAAUUUAGGACUUGCAAGUAAGAAUAAAUUAGCGUGUUAUUCUGAAGGGGGUUUAAUUGGGGUACACACCGCCCGUCAAUCUCGAUUAUUAUUGAGAUAAGUCGUAACAUGGUAACCCCGGGGGAACCGGGGGUUAGUAAGGGAUAAGAGCGUUCUUUAAUCCCUAGG